AACGAACGCUGGCGGCAUGCCUAACACAUGCAAGUCGAACGAGACCUUCGGGUCUAGUGGCGCACGGGUGCGUAACGCGUGGGAAUCUGCCCCUUGGUUCGGAAUAACUUCGGGAAACUGAAGCUAAUACCGGAUAAUGACGUAAGUCCAAAGAUUUAUCGCCAAGGGAUGAGCCCGCGUAGGAUUAGCUAGUUGGUGGGGUAAAGGCUCACCAAGGCGACGAUCCUUAGCUGGUCUGAGAGGAUGAUCAGCCACACUGGGACUGGGACACGGCCCAGACUCCUACGGGAGGCAGCAGUGGGGAAUAUUGGACAAUGGGCGGAAAGCCUGAUCCAGCAAUGCCGCGUGAGUGAUGAAGGGCCUUAGGGGUUGUAAAGCUCUUUUACCCGGGAUGAUAAUGACAGUACCGGGAGGAAUAGGCUCCGGCUAACUCCGUGCCAGCAGCCGCGGUAAU
rnacentral:rRNA from 1 species